rnacentral:rRNA from 1 species
CCUACGUGAUGCAGCAGUGAGGAAUAUUGGUCAAUGGUCGGGAGACUGAACCAGCCAAGCCGCGUGAGGGAGGAAGGUACAGCGUAUCGUAAACCUCUUUUGUCAGGGAACAAAGGCGGGGACGUGUCCCCUGAUGAGUGUACCUGACGAAAAAGCAUCGGCUAACUCCGUGCCAGCAGCCGCGGUAAUCCGGAGGCUGCGAGCGUUAUCCGGAUUUAUUGGGUUUAAAGGGUGCGCAGGCGGUCUGUUAAGUCAGCGGUCAAAGCCCGGGGCUCAACCCCGGCCCGCCGUUGAAACUGGCAGUCUCGAGUGGGAGAGAAGUAGGCGGAAUGCGCGGUGUAGCGGUGAAAGGCAUAGAUAUCGCGCAGAACUCCGAUUGCGAAGGCAGCAUGCCGGAUCCACACUGACGCUGAGGCACGAAAGCGUGGGUAUCGAACAGGAUUAGAUACCCGAGUAGUC